rnacentral:rRNA from 1 species
UACAGAUGGCGCACGGCGCACGGGUGCGUAACACGUGGGUAAUCUGCCCUUCGAUGGGGAAUAACUCGCCGAAAGGCGAGCUAAUUCCGCAUAACAUUCCUUGAACUUCGGUUUGGGGACUCAAAGCCGUAAGGCGUCGGAGGAGGAACCCGCGCACGAUUAGCUAGUUGGUAGGGUAACGGCCUACCAAGGCUUUGAUCGUUAGCUGGUCUGAGAGGAUGGCCAGCCACACUGGAACUGAGACACGGUCCAGACUCCUACGGGAGGCAGCAGUGGGGAAUCUUGCACAAGGGGCGAAAGCUUGAUGCAGCGACGCCUCGGGGGGGAUGAAGCUUUUCGGAGUG